UACGGAGGGUGCAAGCAUUGAUCGGAAUUAUUGGGCGUAAAGGGCGCGUAGGCGGCAGUGUAAGUUGGAUGUGAAAUUCCGCGGCUCAACCGCGGAGCUGCAUUCAAAACUGCACAGCUGGAGCGUAGUUAGGGAAAACGGAAUUCCACGUGUAGCGGUGAAAUGCGUAGAUAUGUGGAAGAACACCAGUGGUGAAGACGGUUUUCUGGGCUAUUGCUGACGCUGAGGCGCGAAAGCUAGGGGAGCAAACAGG
rnacentral:rRNA from 1 species